AACGAACGCUGGCGGUGUGCUUAACACAUGCAAGUCGAACGGUAAGGCCCUUUCGGGGGUACACGAGUGGCGCACGGGUGAGUAACACGUGAGUAACCUGCCCUCAUCUCUGGGAUAACAGUCGGAAACGGUUGCUAAUACUGGAUAUGAGCUUGCAAGGCAUCUUGUGGGUUGGAAAGAUUUUUUUUGGUUGGGGAUGGACUCGAGGCCUAUCAGCUUGUUGGUGAGGUAGUGGCUCACCAAGGCUUCGACGGGUAGCCGGCCUGAGAGGGCGACCGGCCACAUUGGGACUGAGAUACGGCCCAAACUCCUACGGGAGGCAGCAGUGGGGAAUAUUGCACAAUGGACGGAAGUCUGAUGCAGCAACGCCGCGUGCGGGAUGACGGCCUUCGGGUUGUAAACCGCUUUCAAUUGUGACGAAGCGUUUUUGUGACGGUAGCAGUAGAAGAAGCACCGGCUAACUACGUG
rnacentral:rRNA from 1 species